rnacentral:rRNA from 1 species
CGAUCCCUAGCUGGUCUGAGAGGAUGACCAGCCACACUGGAACUGAGACACGGUCCAGACUCCUACGGGAGGCAGCAGUGGGGAAUAUUGCACAAUGGGCGCAAGCCUGAUGCAGCCAUGCCGCGUGUAUGAAGAAGGCCUUCGGGUUGUAAAGUACUUUCAGCGGGGAGGAAGGGAGUAAAGUUAAUACCUUUACUCAUUGACGUUACCCGCAGAAGAAGCACCGGCUAACUCCGUGCCAGCAGCCGCGGUAAUACGGAGGGUGCAAGCGUUAAUCGGAAUUACUGGGCGUAAAGCGCACGCAGGCGGUUUGUUAAGUCAGAUGUGAAAUCCCCGGGCUCAACCUGGGAACUGCAUCUGAUACUGGCAAGCUUGAGUCUCGUAGAGGGGGGUAGAAUUCCAGGUGUAGCGGUGAAAUGCGUAGAGAUCUGGAGGAAUACCGGUGGCGAAGGCGGCCCCCUGGACGAAGACUGACGCUCAGGUGCGAAAGCGUGGG